GACGAACGCUGGCGGCGUGCUUAACACAUGCAAGUCGAACGGAAAGGCCCUGCUUUUGUGGGGUGCUCGAGUGGCGAACGGGUGAGUAACACGUGAGUAACCUGCCCUUGACUUUGGGAUAACUUCAGGAAACUGGGGCUAAUACCGGAUAGGAGCUCCUGCUGCAUGGUGGGGGUUGGAAAGUUUCGGCGGUUGGGGAUGGACUCGCGGCUUAUCAGCUUGUUGGUGGGGUAGUGGCUUACCAAGGCUUUGACGGGUAGCCGGCCUGAGAGGGUGACCGGCCACAUUGGGACUGCGAUACGGCCCAGACUCCUACGGGAGGCAGCAGUGGGGAAUAUUGCACAAUGGGCGGAAGCCUGAGGCAGCAACGCCGCGUGCGGGAUGACGGCCUUCGGGUUGUAAACCGCUUUCGCCUGUGACGAAGCGUGAGUGACGGUAAUGGGUAAAGAAGCACCGGCUAACUACGUG
rnacentral:rRNA from 1 species